rnacentral:misc_RNA from 1 species
GUGGAAAUGGCAUCUUCCUUAUCGUCUCUGUCCCAAACUAUUGGUGAGAACUUCCUCUUCUUCUCUAGUGGAGAAUGAAUACCAUUCUCCACCACCUUUGCCGACUCACUAUUUUUAAAUCGUAAUCCGGACUCAGUGGCAUCAUCAGAUCCACUCUCACUGGAUAGCUCGCCCGGCUCCCUAUCCAUUGUCCUGACAAGCAAAACCUUUUGCUUCAACCCGUGAGAAGCAAUACCACCACUGCUUCCAGAAUCACUUCUACUCGAAGAUCGUAGACUACCAUUACCCGCUUCCCUCUCCUUGAUAUCCUUUUGCCGGACCCUAAUUCUGUCUCUAACAUCCCG